AUUGAACGCUGGCGGAAUGCUUUACACAUGCAAGUCGAACGGCAGCACGGGGGCAACCCUGGUGGCGAGUGGCGAACGGGUGAGUAAUACAUCGGAACGUGCCCAGUCGUGGGGGAUAACGGAGCGAAAGCUACGCUAAUACCGCAUACGAACUCUGGUUGAAAGCGGGGGAUCGCAAGACCUCGCGCGAUUGGAGCGGCCGAUGGCAGAUUAGGUAGUUGGUGGGGUAAAGGCCUACCAAGCCGACGAUCUGUAGCUGGUCUGAGAGGACGACCAGCCACACUGGGACUGAGACACGGCCCAGACUCCUACGGGAGGCAGCAGUGGGGAAUUUUGGACAAUGGGCGCAAGCCUGAUCCAGCCAUUCCGCGUGCAGGAUGAAGGCCCUCGGGUUGUAAACUGCUUUCGUACGGAACGAAACGGCGACCGCUAAUACCGGUUGCUAAUGACGGUACCGUAAGAAUAAGCACCGGCUAACUACGUGCCAGCCGCCGCAGUAAAAC
rnacentral:rRNA from 1 species